GACGAACGCUGGCGGCGUGCUUAACACAUGCAAGUCGAACGGAAAGGCACAGCUUGCUGGGUGCUCGAGUGGCGAACGGGGGAGUAACACGUGGGUGAUCUGCCCCUAACUUCGGGAUAAGCAUCGGAAACGGGGUCUAAUACCGGAUAGGACAAUCGCUGAGUGACGGUGGUGGACAGUUUCUUCGGUUAGGGAUGAGCGCGCGGCCUAUCAGCUUGUUGGUGGGGUAAUGGCCUACCAAGGCGUCGACGGGUAGCCGGCCUGAGAGGGUUGACGGCCACACUGGGCCUGAGCAAAGGCCCAGACUCCUACGGGAGGCAGCAGUGGGGGAUAUUGCGCAAUGGGCGCAAGAAUGAUGCAGUGACGCCGCGUGGGGGAUGACGGCCUUCGGGUUGUAAACCUCUUUCGACAGGGACGAAGCUUUGGUGACGGUACCUGCAUAAGAAGCACCGGCUAACUACGUG
rnacentral:rRNA from 1 species